GACGUAGGGCGCGAGCGUUGUCCGGAUUUAUUGGGCGUAAAGAGCUCGUAGGCGGCUUGUCGCGUCGACCGUGAAAACUCACAGCUCAACUGUGAGCUUGCGGUCGAUACGGGCAGGCUCGAGUUCGGUAGGGGAGACUGGAAUUCCUGGUGUAGCGGUGAAAUGCGCAGAUAUCAGGAGGAACACCGGUGGCGAAGGCGGGUCUCUGGGCCGAUACUGACGCUGAGGAGCGAAAGCGUGGGGAGCGAACAGG
rnacentral:rRNA from 1 species